CAACAGGGAUUGCCCUAGUAACGGCGAGUGAAGCGGCAACAGCUCAAAUUUGAAAUCUGGCCCUGGGCCCGAGUUGUAAUUUGUAGAGGAUGCUUUUGGCGCGGCGCCUUCUGAGUUCCCUGGAACGGGACGCCACAGAGGGUGAGAGCCCCGUAUAGUUGGACGCCUAGCCUCUGUAUAGCACCUUCGACGAGUCGAGUAGUUUGGGAAUGCUGCUCAAAAUGGGAGGUAAAUUUCUUCUAAAGCUAAAUACCGGCCAGAGACCGAUAGCGCACAAGUAGAGUGAUCGAAAGAUGAAAAGCACUUUGAAAAGAGGGUUAAAAAGCACGUGAAAUUGUUGAAGGGGAAGCGUUUAUGACCAGACUUGUGCCUGCCGAAUCAUCCGACGUUCUCGCCGGUGCACUUUGGCUGGUUCAGGCCAGCAUCGGUUCUCUUGGGGGGAUAAAGGCUUGGGGAACGUGGCUCUUCGGAGUGUUAUAGCCCCUUGUGCAAUACCCCCGGGUGGACCGAGGUUCGCGCUCCGCAAGGAUGCUGGCGUAAUGGUCAUCAGCGACCCGUCUUGAAACACGGACCAAGGAGUCAAGCAUUAGGGCGAGUGUUUGGGUGUAAAACCCGCACGCGAAAUGAAAGUGAACGUUGGUGAGAGCUUCGGCGCAUCAUCGACCGAUCCUGAUGUAUUCGGAUGGAUUUGAGUAAGAGCCUUACCGCUUGGACCCGAAAGAUGGUGAACUAUGCUUGUAUAGGGUGAAGCCAGAGGAAACUCUGGUGGAGGCUCGCAGCGGUUCUGACGUGCAAAUCGAUCGUCAAAUAUGAG
rnacentral:rRNA from 1 species